GGCACAAUUGUGAUUCAAGAACACCACGGCGGUGCAUAUGUAUGCAGCCGAUGGAGCGUCGUCGAUACCCAAACUGGUCCCCUUCCCUAGGUUAUCAAGGUCUUUGAAUCCAAAUCCAACCCCCAUAUCCCAAAAAAAAAACAUCUCUAAGCCCCUUAAUCAAACAAUCUGAAACUUAUCCCUAAUCUCAAAAUCCCCAAAAAUUGAACAGCAAACACAAGAGCCUCACAAAAUCAACAGAGGUCAAAGGAUUUUAAACAUGACAAACACCAACGGUCAUCAUGAAAGCGAAAUGAGCGAAUAGUUUACCUGACCGGACGUUACCGGUGCGGUGAUUUCCUUAGUAAGGUCUCCCCUCUUCCUUUUUCCCCUUUUUGUACCUUUACUUGGAAUGAAUCUUCUUCUUCUCCUUCUCUUUUUUUAUUGUGCUUCUAUGAGUGUUGUUGUUGUAUAGGCUUAACUCAUAUGGGUUAGGGCUUCGGAUAUGAAGUUUGAAGUACCUAUAGGUUACAAGCUCUAGUAAAAAAUUCUUAGGAUUUUUGGAUUUUGAAUGCUUCUGAGUAUUCUUCCUUCAGUAGGUUUUUUUCGUUAUUUCUAUGUGUGAAAUUGGAAUGGAUUUAUAAAAGAGUGGGGGUAUAAUUUGGUACGUUUGAGGGAGAGAUUAUAGGAAGAUAUUUUCGUCCUACAAGUGUGGGAAUCAAUUUGGAUAGGAAGUAAUGAAUGUGUGUCAUGUUGAUUUUGAUUUUUAAUGUUGUAGAAAUGUGAUUCUUAAAACAAUUCUCUUGAUUUUUAUGUUUACUUGGUUUAUUCACUACAGUGAAAUUGUUAAUUUGUUUUUCCUGUUUUUGAUUAAUUCGAUUAGGAUUGAUGUGUUAUGCAUGUUUGUUACUAAUAAUGCUUGAUGCAUGUGUUAAAUGUUGGUGGCUUGUUAUGUUGUUCUGGAUUGACGAUGUGAUAAUGGUUCUAUGUGGUGAUAUGUCCUUGUUAUGUAUGUUUUUAUGAUUUUUUUCUCAAGUUGUUGGACUUUGUUUUGCAGGGUCAGGCACAUGAGAUGGCAUGAGAAAGGAACAUGUUGAUGAUCUGCAUAUGAUGAGGAAAAGGGUGUGGGGCCUUCUACAAAGUUGGAAUUUCUCUCCUUUUGUACUUAUUUUUCUAUUUAUUAAAAAUUAAAUCUUCCUUGUACUUUAAUUAGAACUUAAUGCAACAAAGCUUUUUUUUUUGUAUUUUGUACUCAAUGUAUUGUAAAAACCUCCUUGUAUAUUUUAAUAAAAAAAUGCAAUAAAACUCUUUUGUUUUUUAAUUUUAAUUGUGUUAUAAGAAAGUGAUGCAAUGCAAAAUGUAUGCACCAUGUAUUUUCUUUGAAGUCAUAUAUAGAAAAAAAUUA
rnacentral:lncRNA from 1 species